rnacentral:rRNA from 1 species
UACGGAGGAUGCGAGCGUUAUCCGGAUUUAUCGGGUUUAAAGGGUGCGCAGGCGGCACGGCAAGCCGGCGGUCAAAUCGCGGGGCUCAACCCCGCCCAGCCGUCGGAACUGCCGGGCUAGAGUGGGCAAGAAGUGCGCGGAAUGCGUGGUGUAGCGGUGAAAUGCAUAGAUAUCACGCAGAACUCCGAUUGCGAAGGCAGCGCACCGGCGCCCUACUGACGCUCAGGCACGAAAGCGUGGGUAUCGAACAGG